GGAACGCACUCUCUCCACUGUGUUAUGGAGAAUUUCCAUGGAGACCAACAAUGAGCCAAGUGACAGCUGCAUCACUUAAAAAACAUAAACAACAUUGAACUACAUUUGGGUAAGUAAGAAAUUUAUUUGGUUAUUAUUUAACUAUUCUGGAUGCCUGGGAAAUGGAAAGGAAUUCGGAUGAGGACAAGGAACGAGAAGUACAAGGGAUGCUCAGAUGGGUAUGGGAGGCAGUUAACCAGGCGUCCGCAACAAAAUUUGCUCCUUAUUGGGAUACAUUCCCAAUAAGGAGUAAAAAUGCACGGAGUGUAGUCGGUCGCCUGAUAUAUAAAACAUGCAGAUGCCCAUCCUAAGGAGGAUGGAAAACUAACAAACUAACAGAGAAGUCUUUUACCUGAACCGAUAUGAAAAUUCCAUUCGAUGAAAAAUCAAUUAAGGGAAACAUAAAAACCAAAACAUAACUUCUUGACAAAAAUGAACCACGCAGAUAUAUCAAAACAUCAACAGUAAAGUUAUGGUGAACCAAAUUGAACAGGACAAUACAGUGUGGCUACCUUAAUAUUUCUCCAGUAGUAUUAUGUGGACCCGAAUUUUCGUUUAUAUUUUGUCUGUGCUGUGGGGAAAAACCCACGGUUCAAGCCGGGCACAAAAAAAUGUCAAAGUGUAGGCAACCUUUCUCCAACAACCGCCGACUACGCUUCUGUGAAGGUUAGUACAAUUAUUUUAUAACCUAUUCAAAUUUAAUAAUUUUUGUUUGUAUUAAUUUUUAGCAGAUAGCUAAACUAUCAGUCUUUAAAAUGUAUCCAAUUUACAAAAUCACAGAUGCUUAAUAGUUUUUAUCACAAUUAAGUACCAAAGUAUCUAAUUUAAAUUUUAAUCAAAACAUAUAACAAAAUUUCA